rnacentral:lncRNA from 1 species
AUGGACACCAUGAAUAUUGUCCCAAUUGGUUUGUUGCUCAAAGGAAACCAAAUGGUCAGUAUUGGUGCUGUAUGGAUUGAAUCCAAGUUCAUUUUGGAGCUCAAUUUCCAUGGCAGCAUGAUGAUCUUGUUGAUGAGGGUAGGAGAGCUCUUCCAUGGAGAGUCUCAAGUUUUCUACAACAGCAAAGCUGUUGUUGUUGUUGUUGUGGGUUUCU